UCCCUGGUAGCUCAGACGGUAAAGCGUCUGCCUAUAAUGCGGGAGACCCAGGUUCAAUCCCUGGGUCAGGAAG